GCCUCCGUGGAUUAGCGGUAAAUCACCCUGGCUUUGUAGUCUGGUCAGAAGAUGAUGACAUUGCGGGGAGACGCGGGUUCGAGCCCCACCGGAGGCA